rnacentral:lncRNA from 1 species
ACCCUCUGCGCGGGGCGUGAAGCCCCUGGCUCCACACUGGCGGGUGCGCAAGAGCCUUCUAUUCCAGCCCCAGGAAUCCGGCGCUCUGGGAGCUUCAGCGUCUGACUGCACUUCCCGACUUUCUCCAAAGGCUGGAGUGGGCGGUGCGACCCCUUGGCCCCCACCAGGAGUUCUCUUAAGGGUUCUCCCAGACAGGGUUGGACAGAGCCCAGGGGUCCCCGGACUCUCCGCAUGUCUUGCGCGUCCAAUGCUACCCACGUACCUGUCCUGACCUUCCAGCGCCAAGAAUACCGGGUUGGGUAGCCGGGCCUGGAGCCCGCCGCCUCCAGCGGAGCCCGCCCUCGCCCUCCCCCUCUCGCCUUUGCGGGCGGUCUCUCCCCUGGCCGUUGGCUUGGGCCAGGGUUCUAGAAAGGCUUCUAGGAUUCCCCUAGGCUGCGCGGCCCUUUGGUAGGUCCAGUCCAGCGCCUCUCAUUGCAUGCAAUCUAGCCUUCACCGUCCCCCCAAAUCCUCCUGCACCCCGCCAACGGAGCCCACGCUUCAAAACUGUAGAAACUCUGCAAAAAAAGGCGGGUUGGAAGAUCUUUCGCACUAUGUGCGGAGGUCGGGAGGGUGUGCUCGCAGGUUCUGGGUGUUCAUAGGGGAAUAGGCCCUAUGGGACAAAAAUGACUCAAAGGCAGUGCCCCAGUGGUUGUCUUAAACUCAAGGUUCACGUCUAUAUUGUUUUAUGCCUAGGGGAAGACUGCCCAGCGUGAUAGAUCUUUUUAGAUCCCAUCACUGGAAGAAAAAUCCUGGUGAUAACGAUUAUCUCCCGCUCGCGUUAUCUUGCCAUCACCCCAAUCCAUCUCCCUCUCGCUCCAACCCCUCGGGGAGAUGAGGAGGGUGAGGAGCUGGUGAGGGGACGGGCCACACCGCUGCCCUAGGAUGAAGCGGAGAGGAGGAGGUACGAGGCCACUGCAUCCGUCCCUUUCCGCUCUGGGCUGGGGAGAAAGGACACGGUGGGUUUCUUUCUCUGCCAAGCCUCACGCUUCUUUCAAAUGAUUUUAGUCUGGUGCUUCGGUCUAUCCAUAUACAUUUCCAAUCUCAUGGCUCAUAAACUAUUAGCAA